GUGUACCUACGGGGGGCAGCAGUGAGGAAUAUUGGUCAAUGGUCGGGAGACUGAACCAGCCAAGCCGCGUGAGGGAUGAAGGUACAGAGUAUCGUAAACCUCUUUUGUCAGGGAACAAAGGCGGGGACGUGUCCCCGGAUGAGUGUACCUGAAGAAAAAGCAUCGGCUAACUCCGUGCCAGCAGCCGCGGUAAUACGGAAGAUGCGAGCGUUAUCCGGAUUUAUUGGGUUUAAAGGGUGCGUAGGCGGGCUGUUAAGUCAGCGGUAAAAGCCCGGGGCUCAACCCCGGC
rnacentral:rRNA from 1 species